rnacentral:misc_RNA from 1 species
AGCUUCCCUGUUGCUUCUUACCAUUAAUGAACUACCAACUCAUAUCUUAAUUGACAGAACAACUUAGCAAAGUAGCUCAUAUCUAAAAUUCAGGUAUCUAAACACAGCCUUAAAGUCUUCUAAAUUUAUAUCCUUGCCCCUUGUUUGUUGUUCGUCUUCUGCUUUUGUUUCCCUACCAAAAGCUUCAUAUAGGUACAUAAAAUGACAAUAUCCUUAAUCUUUUCUACUAUUCCUCUGAACUUAUGCCAUGGGUAAACGGUAAACCUAUGUCAACCCCUCAAACUCCUCCAUCUUUGAAACUAUUUUUAGCAUCCGUUCUCAACAACAAUGGUGAGAACAUGUGCAACAUCCCAGUUUCUUGCUAGGUAAAGGGCAAAGCCAAAUGGAGAACAAUACAUUUGUAUAAUUUUAGUACCUGAACCUCUAUCUGUUAGCUGUAAGAACCAGAUGAAGAUAAUUUUUCCCAUUUACGCAUUUUUUGCAACAAUGAAGCAAGCAUUAAAAAUUUUCACGUCUUUCAACUAAGAUCCAGGAUUUGUUUAGACAUCUAGUCACUAAUAACAAAAAAUGCAAACCCGACAUAUAGCAAAUAAUCAUUCUUAGCCGUAAAUGGACCAAAAGCUUUAAACUCAAAAUGAGAACUGAAAAGAACCUCAAAAUGAGCAAACCCAAAACGCUACGACCCUCAAUUAACCAAAAUUCCUCCAGGAACGAGCUAUAAACAGAGAAAAACAUCAAACUCACAACGAAAAAAGACAAUGCACUCACAAAUUCAUAAAAUUCCAAAGCAGCUAACAAAAGAAAAGGAAAAAGCAAAUAGAGAAACGAAAGAAAUGUAUGGAACAAGAGUCUCGGUCACAGAUCUAUCAAGAGAGAAACUCCAAACAUAUCAAAGUUCCAACAGAAUCAGCGGGUCUGUUUCAUCCAACAGCAAUAAGAAAUCAUCCAUACACAUUGAAAAGCUCAAAAACCAAAAAGGAAUACAUAAGAAGAAGAAGAAGGGAAAGAAGGAGAGAGCGAGAGAGCUAGAUGAGCUUACUGUGUUCUUGGAAGCUCCUGGGACUUAUCAGUGACAGUCUAGAGAGCUCUACAGACAGUACAGAGAGAAAGGGUGUGAGGGAGAGAGAGAGAGACCGCUUUUAG